ACAAAAACGAGCCAAAGGAGCCCAGUGCUGCAGAAAUUCACCAGAGAUUGAAGUGUGCCUCUGCUCCACUGGUAUAGGUGUGUGUGUGUGUG